GCCCUCUUAGGCUCAACGGCAGAGCAGCCGCUCGAUAAGCGGCCGACGAUCGGUUCGAUUCCGACAGGGGGUACCA
rnacentral:tRNA from 1 species